rnacentral:rRNA from 1 species
AUUGAACGCUGGCGGCAGGCCUAACACAUGCAAGUCGAGCGGCAGCGGAAAGUAGCUUGCUACUUUGCCGGCGAGCGGCGGACGGGUGAGUAAUGUCUGGGAAACUGCCUGAUGGAGGGGGAUAACUACUGGAAACGGUAGCUAAUACCGCAUAACGUCGCAAGACCAAAGAGGGGGACCUUCGGGCCUCUUGCCAUCAGAUGUGCCCAGAUGGGAUUAGCUAGUAGGUGGGGUAACGGCUCACCUAGGCGACGAUCCCUAGCUGGUCUGGGAGGAGGACCAGCCACACUGGAAAUGAGACACGGUACAGACUCCUACGGGAGGCAGCAGUGGGGAAUAUUGCACAAUGGGCGCAAGCCUGAUGCAGCCAUGCCGCGUGUAUGAAGAAGGCCUUCGGGUUGUAAAGUACUUUCAGCGGGGAGGAAGGUGUUGAGGUUAAUAACCUCAGCAAUUGACGUUACCCGCAGAAGAAGCACCGGCUAACUCCGUGCCAGCAGCCGCCGCCG